rnacentral:tRNA from 1 species
GCACCUGUAGCUCAGUGGUUAGAGCGCUUGAUUCACAUUCAAGAAGCCGUCCGUUCGAAUCGGACCAGGUGCA